rnacentral:rRNA from 1 species
GGAAGUAAAAAGUCGUAACAAGGUCUCCGUUGGUGAACCAGCGGAGGGAUCAUUACCGAGUUUACAACUCCCAAACCCAAUGUGAACGUUACCAAACUGUUGCCUCGGCGGGGUCACGCCCCGGGUGCGUCGCAGCCCCGGAACCAGGCGCCCGCCGGAGGAACCAACCAAACUCUUUCUGUAGUCCCCUCGCGGACGUAUUUCUUACAGCUCUGAGCAAAAAUUCAAAAUGAAUCAAAACUUUCAACAACGGAUCUCUUGGUUCUGGCAUCGAUGAAGAACGCAGCGAAAUGCGAUAAGUAAUGUGAAUUGCAGAAUUCAGUGAAUCAUCGAAUCUUUGAACGCACAUUGCGCCCGCCAGUAUUCUGGCGGGCAUGCCUGUCCGAGCGUCAUUUCAACCCUCGAACCCCUCCGGGGGAUCGGCGUUGGGGAUCGGGACCCCUCACACGGGUGCCGGCCCCGAAAUACAGUGGCGGUCUCGCCGCAGCCUCUCCUGCGCAGUAGUUUGCACAACUCGCACCGGGAGCGCGGCGCGUCCACGUCCGUAAAACACCCAACUUUCUGAAAUGUUGACCUCGGAUCAGGUAGGAAUACCCGCUGAACUUAAGCAUAUCAAUAAGGCGGAGGAA